rnacentral:sRNA from 1 species
UACCAUAGCUGCCAUCGUAACGCAACCGAU